GUCGCUAGCACGUUAUUUGCCGGGCAUGAAACUCAUUCUCUCUUUGAGUUCUGGCAUAAAUAAAUAACUUAUGGAUGUUUUUCCUUUUAACAAAUCAAUAAAAGUUUUAUGUUAAAAGUUAAUUGUAUUAUUUUUAAUUCAAAUAAAGUUUAAUAAAAUGUAGUUGAAUACGCCUAUGAGUCUAACCUGAAGUUAGCCGUUCCUCUAAUUUGAUAAUUCUACACAGUUAUCUGUUAUAAAUCGACUCAGAUGAAUAUUCUAUUAUUUAGAUGUACAAUAUAAGGAAAAUAGUAGAAAAUUAUGUCAAUUUUAUAUGAUAUAAUCAAGAAGUUCUAUUUCUGUGAAAGGAUUACAUAUGAUACAUUGAACAAAAUUUAAUUAUACUAUACAAUUCAUAUUAUUUCUACGGAAAAGGAAUCUUAACCUCACAAAUAAGGAAUUUUAUCCAUUAUCAACACGCGAGAAAUCUGAGAUAAGAUCUUCAGAUUCAAAUCUUACCAUAGACUCUCAAGAUAUCCAGAUUUGUAUCUAAGUGAAUACGUGUGACAUAUAAACAGAAGAAGAUUGAGAUACAAUAGAAAAAUCAAUAGGGCUCAAAUCCGGACUAGUUAACAGUUAACAUUUCCAUUAUUACCUGUUCAUAUAGGAAAUGCAUUCUUUGAAUAAUUCUGUACGGAUAAGAAGGUGUUCUAUCCUACAUCCAAAUCAUAUGAUCAAUCAGUGGUAAAUGAAAUAUAUUUUUUUUCAACAAAUGAAAACAUCCUAUUGAAAAAAAUAAUCCUAUCUAUCCCUAAUAUUUGCAUACUAGUACUAAUCAAAUUCCUAAAACUCGCAUCCAAAAGUGUACAUUGGUUAAGAGGUUUCUUUCUUUGCAAUUGUCGAUUUUGAUUUACAGUUGACAUCUAAGAUAUUUAUUUUAAAAAAGUUUAGCGUCCUUAAUCCUCUUGUCUAGUCCACUUGGUGACAAUUUUCAAAUUUCAAUUCAUUGUUUUACAGACGUAUAAGGAGGACCUCCACCAAUUGAGUGUAACAUUAAUAAUAUUACAAUUUUAGUUCAUAUGAACUAUGAACAGCCAAGUGGACUAACCCCAAAUUUGCAUAAUGGAGAUGAUUGGCUGUAAAGUUUUGUUCGAAAUGGACCGACACAUAAUUUUUUUUAAUGGUUAUUUUGGUUCCAAUUCGCUUUACUAUAUAAAAAGUGACUGAAUAUAACUAAAAAUAACAACAUAUGUUAUGAUUUCAAUCUUAGAUUUUAAUGGGGAUUAGUCCAUUUUGAUCUCUGAUGAUUGUGUGGAUUAGUUCACAUUGUUGUAUAUGAUUUUGUUUUUUUUUCCGAAUAGUAGUAGUUAAAUAUUAAAUUUCUUACAUUUUAUUACUGCAUUUAAAAUUAAUGAAAAUAACAAGAAACUUAUAAACAUAUUCAUUUCAACCUAUAGUAUCUACAUUAAUCUUAAUCUUGUUCCUCUAGUAACUCUCCACCUGUCGCCUGGGCAGAUACUUUCAUGUUUCUGUAGAAGUCAUGAUGUACGGGCGGAAUAAAUUCAAUUAGUUGAAGCAAAUCUUUCUUUUUGGCCUCAUUUAUUACAUUAUCCUUGGGGUACAGUAGUGGAAGUGUAAUAAGUUCUGUCUAACGUGAUCCUCGUUUACAUAUAUCGACAUAUCGACAGUUUCAAGACAAACAUAUUCGUUGUUGAAUAUUUAUAUUGAAUUUUAUCAGGAGAUUCUUGGUUAAACCGUAACCAUUGGAUUUUCAGCCAUUCCACCUUGGUUUUUGUCUCCGACUGUUUUCUGUUCGUAAUGUUACUUUCCAGUGGCUUAGUCGACACAAAGUUAGAUGAACUCAUUUGAAUUACCUUAAAUGGAUUUUUCUUCCUAGCAUUUUCUAUGACCGAAAUCCAAUCUGAAGGUACAAAAAUGUGUGGAUGAAAUUUUUUCUCUUUUUCGAUUAGACCAAAGUCUUGAUCGCAAGGGAGAUAGGAAUGGCCACUCACCAGGAAUUUAUGAUCAAUUACUUCCACAUGAAAAUCUGGAGAUGCCGUAAUGAAAUUACAGAGCAGUGACAGAUUUAUAUUACGGUUCUGGCCCCCGCACUGAUCGGAAUACAUGAUUAUUUUUCUUGAUGUUGGAAAAUUCUUAAUAUAAUACAACGGGCAGGAACCGACCUCUGGGGAUCCCCGAGGUGCGACGGUUUCGUCCCAAAUAAACAUAUAGGAAUUAUCAGUACUCAUGUCAUGAACAUUGAAACAAUACGUCCAUAAUUGGUUCUUAUAAUAAUAAAUUCCAGUCGUUAAGAUAGGCGUCGGUAAUGUUUUCAUUAAAUCGAAACAGAAAAUUCACCAUUUUUUGCACGCUGAAUUUCUUUCUCUUCAGGCCAUUUCUUGCUGCUUUGGUCUUCCUCUGAUGGAAUUCUAGAUCCUUUUCAAGUUGUUUUUUCUUCUCUUCAUUUGAUGCCUUUAUUUUGAUAUUGAAAAAGUCACACUUUCGACAUGAGUCAGAAUAGGUGGGUGAAAGUGUAAGUUGAACUCUGUAUUGAAGAUUUUUCUGAAAUUAGCGUAUGUAACAGGAUCCAUUGUUUCAGCUAGAUAUUUUCUAUGAUUGCUUUUCUCACGUGAAUAAUGAGAAUUGUAACAUGGAAAUUUUUCAAUAAAGGACUUUACUUCGUUUGUUUUCGCAAUGGGUGUCUUAUUACUUGGAAUAUGUUUGCCCCGAACGUCUUAGGUGCAUGUGCUCCCGCUGGUAGUAGGAAGAUUCUCGUCUUUCCCCUUCUACAUUGUGGAUUUCCAGUGUACGUGCGCAAUUUAUUUUCAACUUUGAUUAAGGAAAACAGGUGCGCGGUUUGAAAAGCAAUGAAUAGAAGUGUUGAUGCAAAGCUCUUUGACGUUCCUCAGGAAUCAAAUUAUCACAGUGAUGUUUAUAACCGCAUACACAUGGAGUGAAAGAUUUUGCAGGAACAACUCUAUUGGAUCUAGUUGUAUACUCUUUACCAGCACAUCGUUUCUUCUUGGCAACACUUCUACUCCACUUUUUUUCAUGGCGAACUCGCUUUCUACUCUUUACAUCCCUGGAUGUUGUUGGUUGGUCAGUAACAGAAGGUUCGUCUGAUGAUUCUUCAUAAUCUUCAUCUGAAAACACGAAUUCCGAACCAGAGUCCUGAUUAGUUCAGAGUUCGAUUUUGAACCAGACUCCUCAAAUGGUUCCGAGUCCGACUCUGCAAAAUAUUUUCAUUUUGUUUAACAGUAAAAAAUAAUGAUUAACUUUAAUUUUACAAUUAAACUGAAUGUACUAUUAUCAUUGUACUAUUAUCAUUGUACUUUUAGAAUUGUAUUUGUAGAAUAUUAAAAUUAGUCACAACUUAUAAAUUUGAACACAAAAUAAACACAUGCUUUUAUCACGUUUACCACUAAGCGCGGAUAUUCCACUAUAUUUUUUAAUGAAUAUGUGAAUUGCGAAAAAGUAAAACAACGAGAGCACUGCCAUCUAGCGGUCUAUUUUAAAAAGUGACUUAGUCCAUUUUGCUGUUGAUAGAUAUGGAUUUCAAAAUUCAAAUGGCAUCAAAAAGAGAAAACCAAAAUUUUGUGGGUUAGUCCACUUGGCUUUUCCAUAGCCUCAUAUAAUAGUUUGGGUUCACAUCCUGCUGACGCAUGCUCUACUUUUCCAUGGGAUUUAGAUUUGGGGGGUGCCUUCUCAUGCAUAAAUUCGAAAUUAUUUCCAAUCACACAUUUCUAAGAUUCAAUUAUAGGUUGUAAUAGCAAAUUAACAUAUCUCCUACGAAUUAAGUUUGGUUGAAUUGAAAACAGAGGCGUGAUCAUAAUAUCUUAUGUUGGAAUAAAUAUGGCAAUUGUUGCUUAGCCUUGAUAUAACUUGAAAAAUCCAAAUUGGUCAGCCAUCAGAUAUAAAACUGACUUUGGUUUUAACCACAAAAAGAAAUGAUGUGAACUUUUUGUAGUCCAGUUUUGGUGUUAAAGGUACCAAUUUAAUCAUCUAAUUUUAUUUCUUCUGGAUAACUCCUGAGCACAAAAUUUUCGAUACUUUCUACCAUUACAUUGAACCUAGUGGCUUCCAGAAAUUUUAGGUAUAAUAAAUUUGAUUGAACAUUUGUACAUCUUCUAGAACAUUGUCUUUUUUAAAUUUCAUAUUUUCAUAAAAGACUAUGUGAACACCCACUAAUUCUACUUUCACAUUGUUCAAUGAGAGUAAUAAGUUUUGCUUUCUGCAUGUCUGCUUGUACAUUAUAAGGCAUGAUGAUCUUAUUUCAAUCCAUAUAAAUUUAUUGAGUAACAAUAUUUUACUUCCUCUGCCACGCAGUUCACAUUAAGGAAAUUUAGAGUGAAGUAUGCUGAAUGUUGUAGAAAAUAUGGUGAUCUGAGUUGGUUUGCAAUACUCUUUGGUAUCCAACUUCUAAUGUAAAUAAUUCCUUGGUGCAAAAUACAUACAAAACCUUGUAAGGGUGUUGUUUUAAAUAAUGUAUUUAAUUAAAAUAGAUUGUUCAAAGAGUUGAGGAAUAAAUGAGUAGAUUUAGAAUUAUAUAUCUUCAGCUAUUUACUAGAAUAACCAACAUGUCUUUCUCCAAAUUUGAUAUUUGGCAAACAUAUGAUGACAUGAAAAUAUAAUGGUAAAUUGAGAGAAGUAGUCACAGAAGAGAUAAUCAGUAAAAUAAGUUAAACCAGCUGGAUAAGUAAUGUUUUCAUAGUUAAUAUGAAACUGUACAGAAACACAAAACUGAUAUCAAACCAAUUCUUUCAACAUCAAUUUGUGAAAGAAAUUUUUGAAAAUCUCCAUUUAAAAUGAUCUUAUUUCUCUACUUAUCAAUUUUGAAUUUCAAAGUUGACAAAUUAAUGAGUUCCUGCCUUGACUCGUAUAACCGCUAUUUGUAACAAUUCUUGUUUGAAAGUAAACUCAAAUAACAACAGCAUUAGAAGUUUGAAUAGUGAAACUUUAGAAUCGGCGAAUAUGAAAAUAAAUACUCGAGACAACUGAGUGGGGGCGGUGUAAAUAUCACGUGAUCAGAUUUAUUACUAUUAUUUAACCUCCCUGCAUUCCCCUCGACAACAUAAGUAAGCAAAGUUCUUAACCCCCCUUCAUGCAGGCGCAACAUUUAUAUCGGCGUGAAAGAAAGUCUCGAAUGUUCCCGUCAAACGCGCCGCCCGAAACUAGACAGUACAGUCUAGUCUAGAAACAACGCGGCUUUUCUUUGACAAGUACCGCGCGUUCCUUUGAUAAAGCCGCCUUUUGCCGCAAGCAGUGUUAUUUUAUUACGUAAUACAUUUUUCUAGUUUAGUUACCUACCUACUUAUUGAAAAUUUUUUUCUUCUCGAGAUCUACUCAAAAAGCACUCGCGAUCGACCGUUUGAGCAACCCUGCUGUAUACAAUACCGUUUGUUUGAUAAAAAUCCAACCAGCAGUGCAACAUACUUUAUGUACACACUGUAUAUAUUAAAAAAAAUGCCGAUGACUCAGGAACCCACUCCGCCCCGCUUAAAUACACAAUACACAAUCUAUACAACGCUUUCAUCGUGACUUAACGGUGGCAUCGAUAAGGUCGGCUACUGCUGUAUAUACGAACACAAGCACCGAUGGUUCAAAUCCUCAGCUCGAUAAUUUUUAUUUAAAAAAAAAAUAA